GAUCAUGGCUCAGGAUGAACGCUAGCGGCAGGCUUAACACAUGCAAGUCGAGGGGCAGCAUAAUGGAUAGCAAUAUCUAUGGUGGCGACCGGCGCACGGGUGCGUAACGCGUAUGCAACCUACCUUUAACAGGGGGAGUAACACUGAGAAAUUAGGUACUAAUACCCCACUAACAUCAUGAGAGGCAUCUUUUAUGGUUGAAAUUCCGAUGGUUAGAGAUGGGCAUGCGUUG
rnacentral:rRNA from 1 species